GUGGAAUGAAUUUGAAUCGUGCGACGUAGAGUAAAGCAUCUGUGAAAAUGAUAUAGCAAUAUAGAGUGGGAAAGUGGUCUUACGUUUGGACAAUUAAUAGAAAUAAAAGCAUAGCAGUCUUGUCCAAGACCAGACUACACAGACCGCUGCGCCAUAGUCAAUCAAGCUAUAGUAGGCCUAUAUGCAAAUAAGUAAUUUUCCACAUGGGCCUGCCAUCAUUCACUUUGAACUGGAGUGUAUGUUUUACAGGCAGUAGCAGCAGCAUGACUUUAGACCAUUGGAAAGCAUUUUCCUAAAGCCACAAAAUACACCUGAAUGGUUUUCUGCAAAUACCAUGGGAAUCCAAAUACAUUUGGGAACUGUACAGUCAUAUUGAUCAAAUAACAAUUAACAGGUAGGCUCUCUCCCUCCCUAUGAUCAACAACUAAUUUUAGCCAGAGCGAGACAAGGUAAAAAUCUAAUGGGGCAAGAGUAGAUAACCCUCUCAACCUUUUUCAGCUGUAGAGUCUAGGAUGAAGUUGAGGACACCUGGAGGUGGCAGAUCUUGGAGCCUAACACUGCCACGAAAGACUUGUGGGAGAGAUAACACACCUCAAUUGGAAACUUGAGUGCCAUCCGAACCGAAACAGCUUUGGGGUGGGGAUUCUACUGGCCCCGGCUCGGAGAUGACGAUAGACAUUGGAGUUCCCCCUGUGUGUGCAGAGGAAACCGGGACCAGAGGUGUGGAGGCCCAGACACUGCAGAUGGACCUAGAUGGAUGGGUGAGACACCCAAGGCAAGGACCCAACAUCAGCGAGAGCAAGACACAGAGGAGACCAUCGGCCUGGACUGCCAGUCCUUCGUAUUUGACCAGAGGGAGCGGGACCAAAACAGAUAUACAGACAAUUUAUUGGAACCUUGAGCAGCCUUGCCCCUAUCCGUGCCCAGAUGCAAUUCCAACCCGCACCUGCAGCGAGUUAAGUAAUCAGAAAGGUAGCUGGGGUUUGGCUGUAAUUUCCUUUAAAAGCCAUGUGUUUUGUGGUGUUUGGGGAUAAUGUCUCUCGUGGGGAUAGGUCCCCGAUGCAAGUUGCCAUGUUUGUUUGGGUGUUUGCUGUGAUCACACUGCACCAGUGUCUGCGGGACGAGAAGUCUUACUGGAAAAUUUCAGUAAGGAAGUUGGCUGCUGCGCUGACGAAGAACUGGGGCUGUGGAGCUGAGUGGUGAUCCGAGGCCAGAGGACCGAGGGAGGCAUUGGUUCAAGGAGCUUUAGAUCCGACAGCACCGGAGGCGGGGCCAUCGGUGACAUCGCCAAGCAGAGUCUCAGACCGGGCCCGUUCCAGGACAGGGAGCUGUGCGGAUCUGGAUAUCGCCAUACAGAGACAUUAAUUUAGAUUUUAUGGGGAUAUGGUUUUCAUCGUG
ensembl:lncRNA